rnacentral:rRNA from 1 species
GGUUAAGCGACUAAGCGUACACGGUGGAUGCCCUGGCAGUCAGAGGCGAUGAAGGACGUGCUAAUCUGCGAUAAGCGUCGGUAAGGUGAUAUGAACCGUUAUAACCGGCGAUUUCCGAAUGGGGAAACCCAGUGUGAUUCGUCACACUAUCAUUAACUGAAUCCAUAGGUUAAUGAGGCGAACCGGGGGAACUGAAACAUCUAAGUACCCCGAGGAAAAGAAAUCAACCGAGAUUCCCCCAGUAGCGGCGAGCGAACGGGGAGCAGCCCAGAGCCUGAAUCAGUGUGUGUGUUAGUGGAAGCGUCUGGAAAGGCGCGCGAUACAGGGUGACAGCCCCGUACACAAAAAUGCACAUACUGUGAGCUCGAUGAGUAGGGCGGGACACGUGGUAUCCUGUCUGAAUAUGGGGGGACCAUCCUCCAAGGCUAAAUACUCCUGACUGACCGAUAGUGAACCAGUACCGUGAGGGAAAGGCGAAAAGAACCCCGGCGAGGGGAGUGAAAAAGAACCUGAAACCGUGUACGUACAAGCAGUGGGAGCCUCUUUAUGGGGUGACUGCGUACCUUUUGUAUAAUGGGUCAGCGACUUAUAUUCUGUAGCAAGGUUAACCGAAUAGGGGAGCCGAAGGGAAACCGAGUCUUAACUGGGCGUUAAGUUGCAGGGUAUAGACCCGAAACCCGGUGAUCUAGCCAUGGGCAGGUUGAAGGUUGGGUAACACUAACUGGAGGACCGAACCGACUAAUGUUGAAAAAUUAGCGGAUGACUUGUGGCUGGGGGUGAAAGGCCAAUCAAACCGGGAGAUAGCUGGUUCUCCCCGAAAGCUAUUUAGGUAGCGCCUCGUGAAUUCAUCUCCGGGGGUAGAGCACUGUUUCGGCAAGGGGGUCAUCCCGACUUACCAACCCGAUGCAAACUGCGAAUACCGGAGAAUGUUAUCACGGGAGACACACGGCGGGUGCUAACGUCCGUCGUGAAGAGGGAAACAACCCAGACCGCCAGCUAAGGUCCCAAAGUCAUGGUUAAGUGGGAAACGAUGUGGGAAGGCCCAGACAGCCAGGAUGUUGGCUUAGAAGCAGCCAUCAUUUAAAGAAAGCGUAAUAGCUCACUGGUCGAGUCGGCCUGCGCGGAAGAUGUAACGGGGCUAAACCAUGCACCGAAGCUGCGGCAGCGACACUAUGUGUUGUUGGGUAGGGGAGCGU